rnacentral:rRNA from 1 species
AGUGAACGCUGGCGGUAGGCCUAACACAUGCAAGUCGAACGGCAGCACAGUAAGAGCUUGCUCUUACGGGUGGCGAGUGGCGGACGGGUGAGGAAUACAUCGGAAUCUACUUUUUCGUGGGGGAUAACGUCGGGAAACUUACGCUAAUACCGCAUACGACCUACGGGUGAAAGCAGGGGAUCUUCGGACCUUGCGCGAUUGAAUGAGCCGAUGUCGGAUUAGCUAGUUGGCGGGGUAAAGGCCCACCAAGGCGACGAUCCGUAGCUGGUCUGAGAGGAUGAUCAGCCACACUGGAACUGAGACACGGUCCAGACUCCUACGAGAGGCAGCAGUGGGGAAUAUUGGACAAUGGGCGCAAGCCUGAUCCAGCCAUACCGCGGGGGUGAAGAAGGCCUUCGGGUUGUAAAGCCCUUUUGUUGGGAAAGAAAAGCAGCAGGUUAAUACCCCGCUGUUCUGACGGUACCCAAAGAAUAAGCACCGGCUAACUUCGUG